GAGUUUGAUCGUGGCUCAGAUUGAACGCUGGCGGCAGGCCUAACACAUGCAAGUCGGGCGGUAGAGAGAAGCUUGCUUCUCUUGAGAGCGGCGGACGGGUGAGUAAUGCCUAGGAAUCUGCCUGGUAGUGGGGGAUAACGCUCGGAAACGGACGCUAAUACCGCAUACGUCCUACGGGAGAAAGCAAGGGACCUUCGGGCCUUGCGCUAUCAGAUGAGCCUAGGUCGGAUUAGCUAGUUGGUGAGGUAAUGGCUCACCAAGGCGACGAUCCGUAACUGGUCUGAGAGGAUGAUCAGUCACACUGGAACUGAGACACGGUCCAGACUCCUACGGGAGGCAGCAGUGGGGAAUAUUGGACAAUGGGCGAAAGCCUGAUCCAGCCAUGCCGCGUGUGUGAAGAAGGUCUUCGGAUUGUAAAGCACUUUAAGUUGGGAGGAAGGGCAGUAAAUUAAUACUUUGCUGUUUUGACGUUACCGACAGAAUAAGCACCGGCUAACUCUGUGCCAGCAGCCG
rnacentral:rRNA from 1 species